rnacentral:rRNA from 1 species
CUAAUGUCUUGUAAUUGGAAUGAGUACAAUCCAAAACACCUUUAACGAGGAACAAUUGGAGGGCAAGUCUGGUGCCAGCAGCCGCGGUAAUUCCAGCUCCAAUAGCGUAUGCUAAAGUUGUUGCAGUUAAAAAGCUCGUAGUCGGAUCUCGGGUGAGGUGGCGCACUGAACGGCGGAAGGGAAACCGGAAACCGCGAUUGCGUCGCGCAGCAAUGUUUGGGGAAUGGUCCGCCGGGAUGGCGAGUACCAGCCCCACUCACCCCUAGCGGUGGUGGAAAGGGCGGUUGAGGGAAACCGAGACCUCACCCGGUCUGCCACUAAACAAUAGGCUUCCAGAAGGGCGACCCCCCUAAUCUUUAUUGAUGUGCGGGGUUAGGCGCGCACCUCUGGAUCGUUUACUUUGAAGAAAUUAGAGUGUUUAAAGCAGGCGC